AUUUGGGUGCCCNGCUAGCGACAGGCUUAACACAUGACAAGUCGAGGGGCAGCACGGGAGUAGCAAUACAACUGGUGGCGACCGGCGCACGGGUGAGUAACGCGUAUGCAACCUACCUAUCAGAGGGGAAUAACCCGGCGAAAGUCGGACUAAUACCGCAUAAAACAGGGGCACCGCAUGGUGAUAUUUGUUAAAGAAAUUCGCUGAUAGAUGGGCAUGCGUUCCAUUAGGUAGUUGGUGAGGUAACGGCUCACCAAGCCGACGAUGGAUAGGGGAACUGAGAGGUUUGUCCCCCACACUGGAACUGAGACACGGACCAGACUCCUACGGGAGGCAGCAGUGAGGAAUAUUGGUCAAUGGACGAGAGUCUGAACCAGCCAAAUCGCGUGAAGGAAGACUGCCCUACGGGUUGUAAACUUCUUUUGUACAGGAAUAAAAGACAUUACGUGUAAUGUAUUGCAUGUACUGUACGAAUAAGCAUCGGCUAACUCCGUGCCAGCAGCCGCGGUAAUACGGAGGAUGCGAGCGUUAUCCGGAUUUAUUGGGUUUAAAGGGUGCGCAGGCGGGAUUUUAAGUCAGCGGUGAAAUUUUCAGGCUCAACCUGAACACUGCCGUUGAAACUGGGAUUCUUGAGUAUGGAUGAAGUAGGCCGGAAUUCGUUGUGUAGCGGUGACAUGCUUAGAUAUAACGAGGAACUUCCGAUUGCGUAGCCAGCUUACUAAGCCAUAACUGGACGC
rnacentral:rRNA from 1 species